AGAACGAACGUUGGCGGCGUGGAUUAGGCAUGCAAGUCGAGCGGGAUUCUCAAUUCUUCGGAAGAGAAGGAUGAGAGCGGCGAACGGGUGAGUAAUAUAUGGGUAAUUUGCCUCUUUGUUCGGGAUAGCCAUCGGAAACGAUGAUUAAUACCGAAUGUGUUCGGGAACUGCAUAGUUCCUUAUAUAAAGGCGGGGAUCUUCGGACCCGUCGCAAAGAGAUAAGCCCAUAUCCUAUCAGCUAGUUGGUGAGGUAACGGCUCACCAAGGCUUACGGGUAGCUGGUCUGAGAGGAUGAUCAGCCACACUGGAACUGAGACACGGUCCAGACUCCUACGGGAGGCUGCAGUCGAGAAUCAUUGUCAAUGCACGAAAGUGUGAACAUGCGACGCCGCGUGGAGGAAGACGGCCUUUGGGUUGUAAACUCCUGUCAGCAGGGAUGAAUGGCAGUAUUACUAAUAGUGAUGCUGUUUGACAGUACCUGCAGAGGAAGUCACGGCUAACUCUGUGCCAGCAGCCGCGGUAAUACAGAGGUGGCGAACGUUGUUCGGAUUUACUGGGCGUAAAGGGUCCGCAGGCGGAUCGGUAUGUCAGAUGUGAAAGCCCACGGCUUAACCGUGGAAUUGCAUUUGAAACUGCCGGUCUAGAGUACUGGAGGGGAGAAGGGAACACUUGGUGUAGCGGUGAAAUGCGUAGAUAUCAAGUGGAACACCGGAGGCGAAGGCGCUUCUCUGGACAGAUACUGACGCUCAUGGACGAAAGCUAGGGUAGCGAAAGGGAUUAGAUACCCCUGUAGUCCUAGCCGUAAACGGUGUGCACUAGACGUGGGUGGAUUUACCCCCAUCCGUGUCUGAGCUAACGCAUUAAGUGCACCGCCUGGGGAGUACGGUCGCAAGAUUA
rnacentral:rRNA from 1 species